AAAUAAGAUAGUGAUGAACAAUAUAUACACAAUGUAUAACUGAAAGCAGUCCAUAAUUCCUUCUGGACUACUUCUACUGCAGCCUAAAAGUUCAAGCACAUAUCUCCUUCUGCACAUUCAGAAAUCUAUACAUUUUAGUUAUUUCUUAAGAAAGACAUUAAAAUGACUUAGAAUAUAAUCUAAAUGACGUGGAACUACAUCCUUGAAGUUUAUCACCCCAAACUACAGUAUAUUUAUAAAGGAUAACAAAUCAUGUUUUAAAGUGAUUUAUUUUCACAAGAGAUAUCUGGGCGAUAAAAAUAGAUGAGAAAACAGGAAAUCUCACUCAUAUUUCUGAUUUUACAAAUUACUGUCACGAUGAGUCUUGGAAACUAUUGCAGGAUUAUGGUUGUAGGAUUUAUGAUGACUGCACUUUUGGUUACAAACCUUAAUUUAAUAAGCAACAACUCUUGGUCUAAAGCAUAGCCAUGAAUAAGAUCUUAUUUAAGAGUCUUCACUAAUACAUGGAGCACUGGACAAGAUGUGAACGUCAUUUUCUGGUAGUUGCAUAGACAGUUUACAGUGUACCUCAUUUGUAUCUCAUUGUCUGAAAAUAAAAAGUACUUUAAUAUAGAAUAUUGCUAGAUUGCGCUUUAAAAUAUUACCUAUUACUUAAAAUAAGUAAAGUGAAAAGAAGGAACCUGGUGUGCCCUGUUAAGUCUCGGCUUAAGAAAGGAAACUGCAGUAAAGGCUUCUUAUUUUCUCAGAUCCCAAAUGACCAGAAGAUAGUUCUAACCAGCAGGGGGAGAUGAGGAGGAGAGUAGUAAGACAAAGAACAGGCUAUAGGCAGGAAAAGCAGUUAUAAUUAUAGCCGGGAACACAGAAUUUGUUAAAGGAAGUCUACUGUAUAAUUAUAUUUGAAAAUUUAGCAAGAUGCCCAGAGGCUGACUCGCAGCUGUCAGGAACUGGUAACUCUACUUCUGUUCAUGCAUCGACCACUUCGGCUACUAAAUUCACUAUCUAGACGUUACUAGAACUGCCAUUUAGAGUAAAGGGAUAGAUCUUCUCAUAAGACUUUUUUUUUUUUUCUAUAAUGGAUGAAGGCAUCCACUUCAACAAGUAACCUUCUCUCAUUAGCUUCCUUUUGAGACCCAGAUCUCAGACUCUCUGGCCUCCCUCCUCUGAGAACCCAGACAUUUCCAUAGCAAAGCUGUGAUCAAGAUGCAGAUCUCAGAAUACCCGCUGCGGCUCAGUGGUCACGAAUCCAACUAGUAUCCAUGAGGAUGCAGGUUUGAUCCCUGGCCUCCUCAGUGGGUUAUGGAUCAUGCGUUACCAUGAGCUGUGGUGUAGGUCACAAACUUGGCUCAGACUCCGUAUUGCUGUGGCUGUGGUGUAGCUGGCAGCCAUAGCUCCGAUUCAACCACUCGCCUGGGAACUUCCUUAUGCCACAGUUGCAGCCCUAAAAAACUCCCCCCAGCCAAAACAAAAAAGAUAAAAAAAGAUGCAGAGCUCUUCCCUCAACUCUGACUAGAUCAUGAAGCUAUGUGACAAUCACCUAAAGUCCAAUUCAGCCAGCUCACAACAAAAUUCACUUCCCUCUCUCCUCUCUUCUUGUCUGGAAUCUGUACUUUCCUUCCCCCCAUUCCUUACAGCGGCACCAGCAUUCUCUCAGUAAAGCAUGAAAACUCAGUAUUUACCUUUGUUUUCACCUUCUUGAUCUCCUACCCUUUAUUACUUCAAUGUAUCAAAUAGCCUAAAUUUUUAGUAAAAUUCAUCAGCAAAAGAUAUGUUGAAGUCCUAAACCCUAGUAGCACAGAAUAUGACCUUAUUUGGAAACAACCUCUAGAACUGAGAUAAUAAAUCUCUACUGUUUUAAACCACCCAGAUUUUGAUCCUUUGUUACUGCAGCACUAGGAAACUAAUUUAACACUCCAAGCACUGGCUGGACUCAAACAGCUAUAACCCUCCACCUCCAAACCUGUGCCUUACCUCUAAAUAGCAUCCCACCCAGCUUCCCAUGUAGACUCUUAUGCAUCAUCCUUGCUAUUCCAUACCUAUCAAUUAUCGAGACCUAUUUCUUAAAUAUUGUCUAUCUCUUAAACAUAAGGUGUAAUGGAAUCACUUUGCGGUACACCUAAAACACAACAUUUUAAAUCAACUAUACUCAAAUUAAAAACAAAAAGAAAUUAAUGAACAAGAAGUGGAAUUUUUGAGUAGCCUGCUCUGACAUUCACUACUAAAGAAUCACUUGGUGCUCCAUAGAGAACAAAUUUGUUGGUGAGGGAGGCUGGUAUAAAAAGAAAUCAGCUAAGAGACUUCUACAGAGUCUAGGUGAGAGAGAAUGGUGGCUUGCAAUGGGGUAGAAGUAGUAUAAAUACUUGGAGUAUGAUAAUUAUGAUGGAUAUACACAUAUAGAUAUGCACAUGAUGAAAUAAGACAUUUUUAAUUUAUCAGCUUAAUAAAUUUUAACAGUAAUAUAAUAAAGCAAUAAUUUCAAAUGGGUAAUAUAAUUUUUACUUCUCUCCUACUCAUAAAGAAAAAUUCACAAAGAGGGCAGGGAAGGGUUGGGAAGAACACUCUACACAAGCCAAAUGGAGUUCCUUAAAGAAAAGAAAACAAUAUGUCACACUUUCGAAUUUAGUCUCAGGCUUCAAAGCAGGGCUUUCACACAGUGGCUCUGUAUUUACAAAAGUACCGCCCUCUUUACACCUGAUUUAAAGUUGCUGGAGGAAUUUUAUUCCUUUUUUUCCAGAGGGAUCGUCUUUAAUGCAUGUAUCCACUGAUGUAAUUCUGAAGUCUAAGUUGCUGGCUUAACAUGCAAAGUGGUAAAUGUGUUAUAAUGGUGACUUACGGUACAGCACCUAUGAAUUUCAUAUUCCUUUUAAACUUCAUUCUACAAAGCAAUUUCCACCUUCUGACUAAAGAAAUGAACAUUCAUAUUUUAUACUAUGUUCAUAUACAAAAUUUUCAUUUUAUUACAGUACUCCUGAUGCUAUCAGAUUGACUCAACAACUCACUAACAAUGAAAAAAAUGGUAACAUUACUAUUCUUAGAAUUGCUGUAUGUAAUUUUCCUUUUUAAUAAAAAUCAAGAAUUUUUUAUCUUUCCUUUUUAAAAUUGGAUGAAGUUCUUAUUCAAUUACUAUUAUUAAAAGUAAAACUGAGUUAUCUGAUUCAUUUGAAUUUUUUAAAAAAAUUUACCUUUUUAACUGAGAUAUAAUUGACAUAUAACAUUAUAUUAAUUUUAGGUAUACCAAAUUAUCCAACUUUAAUAUAUACUUUUUAAUUUUUAUUUUUUAUUGAAGUAUAGUUAAUGAACAAGAUUAUAUAAGUUUCAGGUAAACAAUAUAGUAAUUCACAAUUUUUAAAGGUUAUAUUCCAUUUAUAGUUAUUAUAAAAUAUUGGCUAUAUUCCCUGCAUUGUACAAUAUAUCCUUGUAGCUUAUUUUACACAUAGUGAUAUUAGUAUAUACUGCAAAAUGAUUACAAUUAGUCUAGUUAAUAUCCAUUAGCACACACAGUUACAACUGUUUUUCUUGUGUUGAGAACUUCUUAGAUCUACUCCCUUAGCAACUUUCAAAUACACCAUACUAUAUUAUUAACUAUAAAGUCACCAUGCUAUACCUAAAGGAUUCUUAAAUAUUAUUUAAAUCUCUUUAUAUAUCUAAAAUUCAUAAACAUUUUUAUUUAAAAAUUGAACACUCAAAAAAGUGACACAUUUUCAAUUCUAAAAAAAUGAGUUUACAAAAAUAAUAAGAAUGUUUAUAAGUACAUAUGGCUUUGUUAUCACCAAGCAUCCCAGAAUACAGACACUCCAAUUCCCAAACGUGCAGUCCAAAGUUUAACUAUUAUCACCCCAACAGCCCAAACCUCAGCAAUAGCCUAAGGCACUUUCAUACCCAAGUGACACUAUAAACCAUUAGAUACUUACCUAGCUAGCAGAGGUCCUAGACAUGAGGGAAAAGAGAAAAAAAAAAACCUGAACUGCAAGAAACAAAAGUGCUAAGUUCAAAUCUGCUCCAUUAGUCUACAUACUAGAGAUGGAGAGACAUUAAUCUAGAGGAAAUAUGCUACCUCUUCAGAGGUAUCUCUCUACUUUAAGUUCCGUCACCAGACCUGUAUAAGUCAAGGCCCUCACAUACUGCUUUAUUUCUGAGAAUUGCUAACAGAAACAAGCUUCUAUGCUUCAAGUUGUUCUCAAAUACUCUGUCCAUUCAUUUGCUCCUUUUCCAUAAAAACUCCAACAACUUUUCCUCCCCAAUGCAAAGAAGACCAUUGGGCUACAGGAUCAAUGUCCACAUCAGAUGUCUAGCGUCAGAUCAAGAGUAGGCCAUGAGUUUUACUCUAGAGCUUAAAACCCAACAAGGCUGAAAAUGCCAGAGCUGAAAUUCUCACCCAGACCAAAAGUUCAAGGCUUCUUUGACUCUACUCAAAAGCUUCAGGUCUACCAGAGCUUCCUACCACAUGGGGAAAGGGAGAUCUCCUGGGCCAACAGAGUUUGGGCAUAAAAGGCUGCUGGCCUUUUUGGAAGAAGACCUACUGAAGACAAAAGAUUUGGUUUUAAGCCAUUGAAGAACCAACUCAUACUCUUCUUUGGUGGAAAUAUAUUCAGAGACUACAUGUGAGUUCCCCAGUUACUCAAAAUUAAGGAAAACUGGACUAAAGAACAGCCUUUAUAGAUCUGAUCUCUUCUUAAGUAGAGGACUUUCUUUCUCAUCUGC
rnacentral:lncRNA from 1 species